GACGAACGCUGGCGGCGUGCUUAACACAUGCAAGUCGAACGGUGACCUCGAGAGCUUGCUCUUGAGUGAUCAAUGGCGAACGGGUGAGUAACACGUGAGUAACCUGCCCCAGACUCUGGAAUAACCCCGGGAAACCGGAGCUAAUACCGGACACGAAGUAGAGCUGCAUGGCUACUACUUGGAAAGUUUUUCGGUCUGGGAUGGACUCGCGGCCUAUCAGCUUGUUGGUGAGGCAACGGCUCACCAAGGCGACGACGGGGAGCCGGCCUGAGAGGGCGACCGGCGACACGGGGACGGAGAAGCGGCCCAGACUCCUCCGGGAGGCAGCAGUGGGGAAGAUUGCACAAGGGGCGAAAGCCUGAUGCAGCGACGCCGCGUGAGGGAUGACGGCCUUCGGGUUGUAAACCUCUUUCAGCAGGGAAGAAGCGAAAGUGACGGUACCUGCAGAAGAAGCACCGGCUAACUACGUGCCAGCAGCCGCCGUAAAAC
rnacentral:rRNA from 1 species